rnacentral:rRNA from 1 species
UACGAAGGGGGCUAGCGUUGCUCGGAAUCACUGGGCGUAAAGCGCACGUAGGCGGAUCUUUAAGUCAGAGGUGAAAUCCCAAGGCUCAACCUUGGAACUGCCUUUGAUACUGGGGAUCUCGAGUCCGGAAGAGGUGAGUGGAACUGCGAGUGUAGAGGUGAAAUUCGUAGAUAUUCGCAAGAACACCAGUGGCGAAGGCGGCUCACUGGUCCGGUACUGACGCUGAGGUGCGAAAGCGUGGGGAGCAAACAGGG